GCCUAACACAUGCAAGUCGAACGAAGUAGCAAUACUUAGUGGCAGACGGGUGAGUAACAUGUAGGUAUCUGCCCUUUGGCCUGGAAUAACACGAGGAAACUUGUGCUAAUACCGGAUAAGUCUUUACGGAGAAAGCUUUAUGCACCAUUGGAUGAGCCUGCACUUGAUUAGUUUGUUGGUGGGGUAAUGGCCUACCAAGACUGUGAUCAAUAGCUGAUUUGAGAGGAUGAUCAGCCACAUUGGGACUGAGACACGGCCCAAACUCCUACGGGAGGCAGCAGUGGGGAAUCUUGCACAAUGGAGGAAACUCUGAUGCAGCGAUGCCGCGUGAGUGAAGAAGGCCUUUGGGUUGUAAAGCUCUUUCGUCGGGGAAGAAAAUGACUGUACCCGAAUAAGAAGGUCCGGCUAACUUCGUGCCAGCAGCCGCGGUAAUACGAAGGGACCUAGCGUAGUUCGGAAUUACUGGGCUUAAAGAGUUCGUAGGUGGUUGAAAAAGUUGGUGGUGAAAUCCCAGAGCUUAACUCUGGAACUGCCAUCAAAACUUUUCAGCUAGAGUAUGAUAGAGGAAAGCAGAAUUUCUAGUGUAGAGGUGAAAUUCGUAGAUAUUAGAAAGAAUACCAAUUGCGAAGGCAGCUUUCUGGAUCAUUACUGACACUGAGGAACGAAAGCAUGGGUAGCGAAGAGGAUUAGAUACCCUCGUAGUCCAUGCCGUAAACGAUGUGUGUUAGACGUUGGAAAUUUAUUUUCAGUGUCGCAGCGAAAGCGAUAAACACACCGCCUGGGGAGUACGAC
rnacentral:rRNA from 1 species